UGGGGAAUAUUGCGCAAUGGGCGAAAGCCUGACGCAGCCACGCCGCGUGAGCGAUGAAGGCCUUCGGGUCGUAAAGCUCUGUGGGGAGAGAAGAAUAAAGCCUGUGAAGAAUGGGCCUUGACGGUAUCUCCUUAGCAAGCACCGGCUAACUCCGUGCCAGCAGCCGCGGUAAUACGGAGGGUGCAAACGUUGCUCGGAAUCAUUGGGCGUAAAGCGCACGUAGGCGGCGAAGCAAGUCGGGUGUGAAAGCCCUGGGCUCAACCCAGGAAGUGCAUUCGAAACUAUUUCGCUUGAAUCUCGGAGGGGGUCAGAGAAUUCCCGGUGUAGAGGUGAAAUUCGUAGAUAUCGGGAGGAAUACCAGUGGCGAAGGCGCUGACCUGGACGAAGAUUGACGCUGAGGUGCGAAAGCGCGGGGAGCAAACAG
rnacentral:rRNA from 1 species